rnacentral:rRNA from 1 species
UACAGAGGGUGCGAGCGUUGUUCGGAAUUAUUGGGCGUAAAGGGCGCGUAGGCGGUGCGGUAAGUCACCUGUGAAACCUCUGGGCUUAACUCAGAGCCUGCAGGCGAAACUACCGUGCUGGAGUGUGGGAGAGGUGCGUGGAAUUCCCGGUGUAGCGGUGAAAUGCGUAGAUAUCGGCAGGAACACCUGUGGCGAAAGCGGCGCGCUGGACCACAACUGACGCUGAGGCGCGAAAGCUAGGGGAGCAAACAGG